rnacentral:ncRNA from 1 species
AAGUUUAAGGACAGUGAAUUGUAAUAUCUAAGUAACUGUUAGAAAAACAAAACGAGACUCCAUUAGUAAUGACGAAUGAAAACGGAAAUUAGGUUUAUAAAUAUAAGACCAUACUUGAAAACUUUUGAAAACUUUACUUAAGAAGGUGAAAGUCCUGUAGAAUAGUUUUUAUUUUUAUAAUAGUAAAAAGAGGUAUGUGUAAUCUUUUUUGAAUAUUGGGGAACCACCCUCAAAACCU